rnacentral:rRNA from 1 species
GUCGCUAGUAAUCGCGAAUCAGCAACGUCGCGGUGAAUGCGUUCCCGGGCCUUGUACACACCGCCCGUCAAGUCAUGAAAGUGGGCAGCACCCGAAGCCGGUGGCCUAACCCUUUUGGGAUGGAGCCGUCUAAGGUGAGGCUCGUGAUUGGGACUAAGUCGUAACAAGGUAGCCGUACCGGAAGGUGCGGCUGGAUCACCUCCUUUCUACGGAG